GAAGUCUCCGCGUCAGCUCGCGGCAUCCCUGUGUGCUAGAUGUUGUGGAACAGUUGAAGAACACUUCUGGUAGUGGGUGAGAAAAAGUGUGGAAUUUGUGGCCGCUUCAGAUUGUCCACAGCUGCUGUGAUUUGCCUCGUGCUCCGGCAUCGGUGUGAUUUUACCAGCUGCGGAGACUUUGUGGAUGGCCUGACAUUUGGACUUCUGGGGACUUUUCAGAAUGCUGGGGCCCCAAGAGGGGUGGGUGUUGUUUGGUUGUUGCUGGUUGUUCAGUGGGGCUGUGGGUGGUUCGUUGGUUGGUGGUUGCUGGUUGUUCAGUGGGGCUGUGGGUGGUUCGUUGGUUGGUGGUUGCUGAUUGCUGUUGGCUGCAGUUUGUUAAGUGGUCGCAUGCAAAGAAGAAACAGCGAGAACAGCAAGGAUCAAACUUGCCCCCAAGAAACUUGAUGCCCCUGAUCAGAAGAAAGUAGUCAAUCAAUAACAUCCACUCUUUCACACACACACCCCAACACACCUUAUUCAGGGAUCUCUCCUCUCCUUUUUUCUCUCUUAUCUAGUAUUAGGGGGUUGAAAAGAUGGAGAAGGGUAGAGGAAAGAACCAACAAUGUAAGGGUUGGGGAUUUAGCUCAGUGGUAGAGCGCUUGCCUAGCAAGUGCAAGGCCCUGGGUUUGGUCCCCAGCUCCGAAAAGAAAAAAAAAAAAAAAAAAAAAAAAGAACCAACAAUGUAGCAAAAGACGGCUACAGUUGCCCAUAGGGAAAGGCCCCACAAUUCAGCCAUGAAGUCAGCUGAGACUGUGGCACAUGAGUUCACUACAGUCCAGUGGAGCUCGACGUUACAGCAGUGAACAACCGGAAAGUGAAGUUAGAGAAAUGGCAUCCCUUAUUUAUCAUAGAAGAAUCCCAUGGGAGUCUAUGUCUAACUUGAAUAAUGUGUGCAGAAGCUCUGCUGAAAGCUUCACAUCUCUGGGAAGGAAACCUGGAGUCCUGGGGAAAUCGUCCCACACUGACUGCUUCAAGAUGUCAACUGCCCAGAAACUGAGUUAUAUAUUCAGUGCAGUCCCAAACAAAACCAGAGUUACCUUUUUAAAAGUCGAAAAACUGAUUCUAAAAGGCACUGAAACGCAAACACGAAAACUGGUCGGCUCCUGACGUUAAAGCAGAACCGAGUAAGAGCAGCACCUGUGGUCUUCAUGCGGGCACUUCAGGGGCCCCAGGAUUCUGCUUUUGAGGGAGGGACUUUUAGAUGUAACCAUUCCUUCCAGAAUGCCACCCAAUGGCAGCACCUAAAGCACCAAUAUUCACCACCCUAAUACGAGGAAGAAUAUGACGGGAUAUUUUGAAAGAGAAGUGGUCCCUGGCAUUGCAGAUCCGCAGUUCUGCCAUCAAUGCAGGCUCUAAGCUCUCCUAAUCCAACUGAUCCAUUAGCAGAUGGUGCAGCCAUGGAAGAGCCACAAAGCCCAAGCCGUGAAACAGUGAGAGCAUGGACACGAAUGACAUUUAAGUCGAUCAGAGAGAUCAUCAAGUGUGCAUCACUCCUGUUCUGCCAACAGUUCUUACUUUUGUUGUUUACAUUCAGUGAACACAGGCUUAGAUUCAUUCCAGAUUAAAAGCCCAGGCCCUGGCGUCUUUAGCAAACCUGCCUUGUCCUGGUUCACCACUGCAGAGCAUGAGCAGAGGCUGGAAACCUCAUCCCGGUUCUUCUGAGAUGUUGGAAAGCAGUGACUCUGCUUUGACUCUCCCCAUUGUAGUUUAAGUACAAGGCACCAAGAAGGAAGCAGGUUAGCUGCCAAGGGUUUGAGUGGUUUUACCUUUUCUUGGGAGGGGGUAGUUUUAUUUCAUUGGUUCCUUUCUCCCCCCCACCCCCCGCCCUCCUAUGAUGAGACCUAACUGCAGUGAUUAAACACAGCUAGCCGGCUUGUUUGGAAUAUGUUCUCUGCCAAGUCUAGAUAGACAAGCCUAAUUAGCAGAAUCAAAGUGGGAACAUUAAACAUUACAGCCUUCACUAAUAACACUGUGGCUUUGCUGUCAAGUGCAGAUUCACUGCCCCCACCCUACCCCAAGAAGAAGGAGGAGGAAGAAGAUGAAGAGGAGGAAGAGAAAGGAAGCUAGCUUGUGACCAUUUUGUAUGGCUUGCCUGGAAACUUCUGUAAAUCUUAUGUUUUAAUAAAAAAAUUUUUUUGUUAUCCAAAAACGAAAAGAAAAAAUGGUCAAGUUCAUUUUGAGAAAGACUGGAUUCCAGGACAGCCAGGGUUACACAGAGCUAUCCCGUUUAAAACCAAAACCCAAUAAAACAAAACCAAAGAGAACUCCAUGAGAAAGACUGGAACUGGAAGACUCACACUGACUCCCAUCAAUCAUGAAGCUACGCCUUUGGAACAGCUCUGAUCACACAGUAUCAGGCAGAAUGACCCACAGGAGCAUCUGGGGACGCAGAGGCCAGGAAAAGAUGAACACACGGAUUUGUCAUACAAGUGUGACAGAAUUCAGUACUGAAAGGGCAGUGAACUGGAUGUCCGUAUGACCUCACACUGAUGCAAAGUUAGCCGAAACGGACCAGUCGUCGAUGAGAAACUUCAAAGGCAGCAGGGACAAAUGGACAAACAAAACCCAGAUCAGCUGCCAAGCCCCAUGUCCAGCAACUCACACCCAUCUGUAACCACAACUCCACAGGACCCGAGGACUGGCAGUGUGGCACCUGCUCGUGAUCGAUCAUAUGCAUGGAGACAGACACAUAUACAUAACUUCAAUUUGUAAAGCUUUCUGCAAAGCAUAGCCCUACUCUAUAACCCAGGAAUAGAUAUUUAUGGAUCUAAAUGCACUGUUAUAUUACAUAGAAAACAGUA
rnacentral:sRNA from 1 species